ACUGAUACUCUGUAUUGAAAGAGGCCUUUUAGGUACUGAAUUUUCUCCUCUUGAACAAAAGAAUGGCCGGGUAACUCUUCAUUGAGAAGUUCAGAGCCUUUUUCAACUGAAUUUUGUCACUAAGUGCUAAAAUAGAAGUCUUUAGAGACUUAAACCAUGUUGUAAACUCAAGAGCAAGACAUGUGGGUGUGGUCAUGGCCACACCUACUUUUUGACCACUCCCACUUUCAGCCACACCUUUGCCCUACUUGCACUGAAAUCCUGCAGCCGCCUAUGGUUGGGGGGGCUUAAGCCCCUCCUGCCCCCCCUGUUCCUACCCCAGUACCCCUAUGUCCUGGGCUACUAAUUCAACCUCCUGGGCUACUUAUUCAACCUCCCUGGCUACUUAUUCAACCUCCCAGGAUAUUUAUUCAACCUCCCGGGAUACUUGUUAGUAAGUAAGUUAUUUAUGCAAAUUAACCUGAAAUCAAGGUCAAGUACAACUAGGUAGAAAUAGACUAGUUUUAGUAAUCUAAUAAUUAUUACUCAAUAAAAUUCAUACCUCAGUCAUCAUUGGCUGUGCCCAAACAUGGAUCCAUGGCCCAAGAAAUAAAAAUUGCUUGGCACACUGAUCAAACACACAACACUGAGUCUCUCAUACUGCUACACUUUUCAUGAUUAAUCUUCUAACACAUUCAACAAUGGCGGAUCACUGAUUCACCCAAACAUAGAUGAAUACUAGAAACGGACCCAAAUUAAUGAAAUUAUGGAUAGAUCUAGUCUCGCAAGCCAGACCCAUGGACUAUUGGACUUACUUGGUCAGGUAAAAAGGACUUGCUAUGCCUGGACAUUCUACUCAGCCAAUUUAGUUGGAAUCUGGAUCAGGAUUGAUGCUGAAAUCAGUUCUGGAUGAUUGAAUCAUGCAUUUUGAUUUUUGGGCAAUCACUGAAUCAGUCAGUAUUGACUACAAUCAUCAAAAAUUUGCAGGCCACAAGAACUGUAGUAGUAGAGAAUCAGACUUGAUUCAUUCAUUUUGGGCAAUAUUUCUGAUAUUAUGUGUACAUGAUUCAAGAGGUUAUUCUCGAUCUAAAUAUCCUGCUAAAUGCUAAUCCUGAAGUGAUUUCAAAUUUUCAACUGACUCUUUAAUCUAUUGUGCUUUCAUUUUGGUGGACAGCGGCCAGUGAAGCUGGGGUCUCAAGGGUCUGAUACGGUGAUACCAUGAUACAAGUAACAAGCUCAGCAAGUGCAUGGUCUGUGUAAGAUGCUAUGAAUCAUGUGACUUAUCCAAAUAAUACAAAAUCUUACUCUCGCCAAUAAAUCAUCUUGUAUGACAUGUUGUGAUGUUGCUGGACACCUGAGCAAGAAUGUUCUUCCUGCUGUUCAUGUAGGUAGGGCAAAGCAAGACUUUAACACAAUCAUGAACAAAUACCGGUAGAAGCCAAAGUCAAGACUCAUCAGCAUCAGUAUUGGAUAAAAUGCUCUGUCUCUAACUUCUGUGAUUGGAAUAGCAUGGCUUGGUAGUGUUCUUUUCUUUAGGAAAGAGCUUCUCUUUAUUGCUUACAUCAUGACUGGUCAUUAUAUUUGUACUUUAUAUACCUCUCUCUAAAAACAGUUAAUAAUGCUGAUGGGUAUCUUUCAUUAUUACUUGUGUAUGUACAGAUGAGGGCAGCAAAAAAGCUAAUUCUGAAAUAAUUGGCAGUUUGUCAUUAAGAGCCUCAAACCUUCUACAUCCAUUUUCAUUUCAACAAACAAGUGUUUUUGUCACUAUUAAGGCUGAUCAAUAUUCACCAAAACAUUGUGAGAAUGGUUUGUCGUCAACUUCUUUUGUUUGAAAAGAGUACCAGUAAUAAUAGGUACAUCAAAUUAAUUCUUCUGAUACUUUGAAUAAAGCCGAACUCGAUCAGAUACCUGAAUCAAAGAGGAAUGAAAUGAGACUUUUAUCAUUGCAAGUGAAAUUGAUGAUGACUACCUUACAGUGGCUGAUUCUUAAAGUUGUGUAUUAUUAUUCAUUAUUUUAAAACUACUAAUUACAUUAGUUGUUCUGUAAUCAUGUUUUUAAAUUCGUGUUUGAAAAUUGAUAUAACAGAUUGUGAUGUCAUAGAUUUUAAAUCUA
rnacentral:lncRNA from 1 species